rnacentral:rRNA from 1 species
UACGUAGGUGGCAAGCGUUGUCCGGAUUUACUGGGCGUAAAGAGCGCGCAGGCGGUCGUAUAAGUCGAAUGUGAAAGCCCUGGCUCAACUAGGGAGAGUCAUUCGAUACUGUUCGACUCGAAGGCAGGAGAGGGAAGUGGAAUUCCGGGUGUAGUGGUGAAAUGCGUAGAUAUUAGGAAGAACACCAGUGGCGAAGGCGGCUCACUGGGCCCGGUACUGGACGCUGAGGCGCGAAAGCGUGGGGAGCAACAGG